UCCGGCCGCCAUCUUUGUUUAGUUUGAGAACCAACCUCAUCCACAGAGCAGCAAGUCUUUUUUUCUGAGAGACAGACAGCGUUUUUUCCUAAAGCUGGAUGGAAGACUUUUGAAAUGUCUUUAAUCAGUAAGUCUGGAAUUCGUCAUCAUCAGAGCAGCUCAGGAGCAUUUCCAGCAGAUUUCAAUCAGCAGAAAAGGAUACAAUGAAGGCUCUCCUGGGAACCUGACUGGCCAUGGGUGUCAUCGCAGAGGGAAUUCAGUCCAUAUGAAACAGAAGCCAUACAGAGAACUCAUUAAACUCCACUGUAACAGAGAUCUUAAUUACUAAGUAUGAACUUUUAAUUGGAUGCUGUCCCAGCUCACCUUGUAAUCACCCGUCACAUGCUGUUGGUGCAGGGAUGGCUUUAAAGCCUCCCCAUCUUAAACCCCGUUACACCACAGGUUAGAGUCAACUAGGUCAAGUGUUUUGGAGAAUGAUACUCCUCUGAUAACUCGUAGUUUUCUCACUUUGAGCGACACGCCUCGACACAUAUGAAGGUUUUACGUAACGUCACGCACGCUCUGAGUUCAGACGGGCGAAGCCUGCUGUGUUUGAAACGCUUUACUUGGACAUGAAGUGUUGCAGUUGUUUUUAAAUGAUGCUUCUGGAAACUCUGUUGACAUUAGAUGUCAUUGCAAAUCCCUCUGGUGAAGUUAAUUGAUUGGAUUUGAGCAUUUCCAAGUGCUCAAGGAACCUUCGCAUGACUGAGGAUGUUUGUUUUCUUACUUGCAAUUUGUUUUAAAAUUACUUUUCAUUAGAAACCUUUACACAAACAAUACAAGAAAAAAAAUGUAAUAAUAUUUAAUUACUAUUUGUAAAAACUGGUGGUAUAAAAACACCUACAGUAAAGUUAUUUUACAGUUUUGUAGGGUGAAUGAAUGCAUUUUUAAAAAUUCAGCCCAAGGGAGUCUUUACUCAUCUUAUAACAGAAGAAUUUGGACCCAUUUUUAUGCCAAAUAAGCGUUUCAGUUUAAUAAAAUAAAAGACAAAUACAUUUCCUCAUCCUCCCACUUUACUCAUGCAUAAAUGCUAAUAUAUAUACAUGUUUAAUUUUGAAGGAUUUUUGUACAUUAUUAAUCAUCUUAUAUGACAUUAUUUCAUAUCAGUGACUUCCCUGAUUUGUAAAGCGACUCAUUAACGGAACAUUUCCUGAAUUCUUUCAUUUUUUUUAAAAACGAGUCUAAUAUCCAAUCAUUAUUGCGAUUGUUGUCUAAUCCUUCAGUGCGUGAUAAAGUUUGACUGAAUGCUUUACAAUAUUUAAAAAAUUGUCAGGGUCGCGGGGGGUGGUGGGGGCUAAGACAGGGGUUAGAGGUGAGAGGCGGGGUACUCUGUGGACAGGUGCCAGUCUGUCACAGGCCUCACUACAUCUCAGUUACAUCUAAAUAAUCAUUAUUUUUGUCCAGUACAGCUGAAUUUUAAACAUGUUCACAAUGUGGAUGCUGUUACAUUUCCUAUGAUUUAAUGAAGUCCAGUCUGAGCCUGCUGUAGGUUCAAUAGAAAUAAUGUGAUAUUUUAAGUGAUAUCAGUCUUACCCGUAAGUGUCAAUAAAUUAGAGCCAUUAGCACAGAUCCUUUCCCAAUUUUUCCCAGAUACCUCUUGGAGGUGUUAUAUUUGUAUUUCUCCCCUUUAUGAAUCAACAACCUUCAAUAUUUAUAAACCUCUCGACUUUUGUUGAAUUGAAAACUGACUGAAUGGCCAAAAUGGGUUUCUGACGUUUCUACGUGUAGUAUGUUUGCUAAUGUUGGUAAAUAGACUGCAC